rnacentral:ncRNA from 1 species
UUGAAUACGUGGCAAAGCUGUUGAAAAGCAGUGACGCAAAGCUAGAGGGACUACUUCCGUGAAGGAAAUGUCAGCCAGUUGCUUGA